rnacentral:rRNA from 1 species
CCUACGGGUGGCAGCAGUGGGGAAUAUUGCGCAAUGGGCGAAAGCCUGACGCAGCGACGCCGCGUGAGGGAUGAAGGUCUUCGGAUCGUAAACCUCUGUCAGCAGGGAAGAACGGUCACUGUGCUAAUCAGCAGUGAAUUGACGGUACCUGCAAAGGAAGCACCGGCUAACUCCGUGCCAGCAGCCGCGGUAAUACGGAGGGUGCGAGCGUUAAUCGGAAUUACUGGGCGUAAAGCGCUCGUAGGCGGUAUGUCAAGUCAAGGGUGAAAUCCCCGCGCUCAACGUGGGAACUGCCUUUGAAACUGGCAAACUGGGGUGUGUGGUAGGAUAGUGGAAUUCCAGGUGUAGGAGUGAAAUCCGUAGAUAUCUGGAGGAACAUCAGUGGCGAAGGCGACUAUCUGGCACAUAACUGACGCUGAGGAGCGAAAGCGUGGGUAGCAAACAGGAUUAGAUACCCGUGUAGUC